UCUGAGUUGGGUUAGGUAACGAGUAUGUGAUGGCAAGACGGACUUCUUGGUGGGCUAUCCGAUCAGAUUUGAGAGCUUCGGGAAUCCAUUGAGUUGUCUUUGAUGAAUCCGGAGCUCUUUAUAAGGGUCGGCAUUAAACCGCCAAAGGGUGUUCUUCUUUAUGGACCCCCUGGUACGGGCAAGACCUUGCUAGCUAGAGCAAUUGCCAGUAAUAUAGAUGCCAAUUUCUUAAAGGUAUUGUUUUUGCAUUUAUGGACUGCAAA